rnacentral:rRNA from 1 species
CAGCAGCAGCCACGGUAAUACGUAGGGUGCGAGCGUUAAUCGGAAUUACUGGGCGUAAAGCGUGCGCAGACGGUUACUUAAGCAGGAUGUGAAAUCCCCGGGCUCAACCUGGGAACUGCGUUCUGAACUGGGUGACUAGAGUGUGUCAGAGGGGGGUAGAAUUCCACGUGUAGCAGUGAAAUGCGUAGAGAUGUGGAGGAAUACCGAUGGCGAAGGCAGCCUCCUGGGAUAACACUGACGUUCAUGCUCGAAAGCGUGGGUAGCAAACAGGAUUAGAUACCCGCGUAGUCCCUGUCUCUUAUAC